rnacentral:rRNA from 1 species
AGCCAUGCGAGUCGAGAGGGUUCGGCCCUCGGCGAACUGCUCAGUAACACGUGNGANAAUCUAACCUUAGGUGGAGCAUAACCUCGGGAAACUGAGAAUAAUACUCCAUAGAUCUUUGAGGCUGGAAUGCGCUUAGAUUGAAAGCUUCGGCGCCUAAGGAUGAGUCUGCGGACUAUCAGGUAGUAGUCAGGGUAAAGACCUGACUAGCCUACGACGGAUACGGGUUGUGAGAGCAAUAACCCGGAGAUGAUAUCUGAGACACGAUAUCAGGCCCUACGGGGCGCAGCAGGCGCGAAAACUUCACAAUGCGCGAAAGCGCGAUGAGGGGAUCCCAAGUGCUUGCACGUAAGUGUAAGCUGUUUUUCUGUCUAAAAAGCAGAGAGAGUAAGGGCUGGGUAAGACGGGUGCCAGCCGCCGCGGUAAUACCUGCAGCUCAAGUGGUGGCCGCUAUUAUUGGGCCUAAAACGUCCGUAGCCGGCUGAGUAAAUGCCUGGGUAAAUCGUGUGGCUUAACCGUACGAAUUCCGGGUAGACUGCUCAGCUUGGGACCGGAAGAAGUUAGAGGUACUCCUGGGGUAGGGGUGAAAUCCUGUAAUCCUGGGGGGACCACCAGUGGCGAAGGCGUCUAACUAGGACGGGUCUGACGGUGAGGGACGAAGCCCUGGGGCGCAAACCGGAUUAGAUACCCGGGUAGUCCAGGGUGUAAACGCUGCUUGCUUGAUGUUAGCUGGGCUCCGAGCUCGGCUAGUGUCGGAGAGAAGUUGUUAAGCAAGCUGCCUGGGAAGUACGGUCGCAAGACUGAAACUUAAAGGAAUUGGCGGGGGGAGCACAAGGGCGAAUUC